AGUGAACGCUGGCGGUAGGCCUAACACAUGCAAGUCGAACGGCAGCACAGUAAGAGCUUGCUCUUACGGGUGGCGAGUGGCGGACGGGUGAGGAAUACAUCGGAAUCUACUUUUUCGUGGGGGAUAACGUAGGGAAACUUACGCUAAUACCGCAUAUGACCUACGGGUGAAAGCAGGGGAUCUUCGGACCUUGCGCGACUGAAUGAGACGAUGUCGGAUUAGCUAGUUGGCGGGGUAAAGGCCCACCAAGGCGACGAUCCGUAGCUGGUCUGAGAGGAUGAUCAGCCACACUGGAACUGAGACACGGUCCAGACUCCUACGGGAGGCAGCAGUGGGGAAUAUUGGACAAUGGGCGCAAGCCUGAUCCAGCCAUGCCGCGUGGGUGAAGAAGGCCUUCGGGUUGUAAAGCCCUUUUGUUGGGAAAGAAAAGCAGCAGGUUAAUACCCCGCUGUUCUGACGGUACCCAAAGAAUAAGCACCGGCUAACUUCGUG
rnacentral:rRNA from 1 species